rnacentral:rRNA from 1 species
CAGUCGCCACGGUAAUACGAAGGGGGCUAGCGUUGUUCGGAAUUACUGGGCGUAAAGCGCACGUAGGCGGACAUUUAAGUCAGGGGUGAAAUCCCGGGGCUCAACCCCGGAACUGCCUUUGAUACUGGGCGUCUUGAGUGUGGAAGAGGUCAGUGGAAUUGCGAGUGUAGAGGUGAAAUUCGUAGAUAUUCGCAGGAACACCAGUGGCGAAGGCGGCUGACUGGUCCACAACUGACGCUGAGGUGCGAAAGCGUGGGGAGCAAACAGGAUUAGAUACCCAGUAGUCCCUGUCUCUUAUACA